rnacentral:rRNA from 1 species
UACGGGGGGGGGUAAGCGUUGUUCGGAAUUACUGGGCGUAAAGGGCUCGUAGGCGGCCAACUAAGUCGGACGUGAAAUCCCUCAGCUUAACUGGGGGAACUGCGUCCGAUACUGGAUGGCUUGGAUUUGGGAGAGGGAUGCGGAAUUCCGGGUGUAGUGGUGGAAUGCGUAGAUAUCGGGAGGAACACCUGUGGCGAAAGCGGCGCACUGGACCAUAACUGACGCUGAGGCGCGAAAGCUAGGGGAGCAAACAGG